rnacentral:rRNA from 1 species
CUUGACCUCAAUCAGGUAGGACUACCCGCUGAA